UACGUAGGGUGCAAGCGUUAAUCGGAAUUACUGGGCGUAAAGCGUGCGCAGGCGGUUUUGCAAGACAGAUGUGAAAUCCCCGGGCUCAACCUGGGAACUGCAUUUGUGACUGCAUGGCUAGAGUACGGCAGAGGGGGAUGGAAUUCCGCGUGUAGCAGUGAAAUGCGUAGAUAUGCGGAGGAACACCGAUGGCGAAGGCAAUCCCCUGGGCCUGUACUGACGCUCAUGCACGAAAGCGUGGGGAGCAAACAGG
rnacentral:rRNA from 1 species